CACGAACCGUACGAACGUUAUUCGGAAUUACUGGGCUUAAAGGGUUUGUAGGCGGCCUUGUAAGUCAGGUGUGAAAGCCCUCGGCUCAACCGAGGAACAGCGCUUGAUACUGCAGGGCUUGAGGGAGACAGGGGUAAGCGGAACUGAUGGUGGAGCGGUGAAAUGCGUUGAUAUCAUCAGGAACACCGGUGGCGAAAGCGGCUUACUGGGUCUCUUCUGACGCUGAGGAACGAAAGCUAGGGUAGCGAACGGG
rnacentral:rRNA from 1 species